ACCCGCUGAACUUAAGCAUAUCAAUAAGCGGAGGAAAAGAAACCAACAGGGAUUGCCUCAGUAACGGCGAGUGAAGCGGCAACAGCUCAAAUUUGAAAUCUGGCUCUUUUAGGGUCCGAGUUGUAAUUUGUAGAGGAUGUUUCGGGUACCGCUCCGGUUUAAAUUUCUUGGAACAGAAUGCCAGAGAGGGUGAGAAUCCCGUCUUGGACCGGUGGUAGGGCCUAUGUGAAACUCCUUCGACGAGUCGAGUUGUUUGGGAAUGCAGCUCAAAAUGGGUGGUAAAUUUCAUCUAAAGCUAAAUAUUGGCCAGAGACCGAUAGCGCACAAGUAGAGUGAUCGAAAGAUGAAAAGCACUUUGAAAAGAGAGUUAAACAGUAUGUGAAAUUGUUGAAAGGGAAGCGCUUGCAACCAGACUUGCGCGCGGCGGUUCCCCCUUCCUUUUGGUUGGGCUACUCCGCCGUGUCCAGGCCAACAUCGGUUCUGGGGGUCGGUUAAAGGCCUUGGGAAUGUAUCUACCUCCGGGUCGACUUAUAGCCCAGGGUGUCAUGCGACCUCCCGGGACCGAGGAACGCGCUUCGGCUCGGAUGUUGGCGUAAUGGUUGU
rnacentral:rRNA from 1 species